CUGAGAUUAUAGACCAGUGGUCCCCAACCUCUUUUGGUGUGGCAGGCGCCAGACGAUGAGCCACGGAGGACCGUGGCAGCAGACGAGCAUCCACUGAAAUGCUGCUGACAAG